GGGUCGAUAGCUCAGUGGUAUGAGCGAGGGAUUGCAGAUCCUUAGGUCACGAGUUCGAUCCUCGUUCGGCCCU